rnacentral:lncRNA from 1 species
UGGGGGACCAUAUGUUUUGAUUUAACAAUAUUUCAGCUCAUCAAAUUGUUCUUUCUUGAUUCCAUCAAACAUAGAAAAUCCUGGGUAUGAAGGAGGGUAUAACGCCUUUCAUAGAGCUUGUGUACAUGUCCAAGAAAUGCAUAUGGAAAAGUCCUUCUGGAGUUGUUGUGUGCCUUCAAGAUAUUUCUGACUUAUGGUGAUCCUAGGUGACUUUAUCAUUGGAUUUUUGUUUUUUUGGGAGGUGGGUACUGAGAGUGUGUGACAUAUCCAAGUUCACCCAGUUAGUUUCCAUGCCUGAGUGGUGGCCCAAUGCUCAAACCAAAACCAUAUCACUAACAGAGUUUUUUCAUACCCAUCCCUAAUAGACAUAAUUCAUUACGAUCAUAUUUUUUCCCCAAAAGUAGGGGCUUUGUGGAGAUUAUCCACUUUGCCUGUUGGAAGGAAAAAGCAUGCAUGAAUGAAUGCUCACCCAUUAAAACAUAGUAAAGGUAAAGGUUUUCCUCUGACGUUAAGUCCAGUCAGGACUGACUCUGGGGGUUGGUGCUCAUUUCCAUUUCUAAGCCAAAGAGCCAGCAUUGUCCAUAGACACCUCCAAGGUCAUGUGGCCAGCAUGACUGCAUGGAGCGCCGGCUCUUUGGCUUAGAAAUGGAGAUGAGCACCAACCCCCAACGUCGGACACGACUGGACUUAAUGUCAAGGGAAACCUUUACCUUUACCUUAUAGUGGUAUAGUUCAAUAUAGUAAUAUAUAAUGCUAAUAUUGUGCUAUGCUAAUAAUAUAAUAUAUUGUUUGUACAUACAGCUGCUCUGAGUCCCCUUUGGGCUGAGAAGGGUGGGAUAUAAAUGUAGUAAAUAACGGUAGUAAAUAAAUAAAUAAAUAAAUAAUUUUAGACUUAGGCUCGCCCAAAGUCUGAAAUGAUUUGAAGGCACACAACAACAACAAUCAUAAUUAACUUGACUAUUUCAUUGGCCAAUAGUAGGCCCACACUUUCCAGUGAAAUCCUGAUAGGUUUAUGUUGGUUAAAAUUGUUUUCAUUUUUAAAUAUUGUAUUGUUCUUUAAUUGUUAUUGUUGUAUUGCACUACAAAUAAGACAUAUGCAGUGUGCAUAGGAAUUUGAGGACCCCUGGACUAGAGACUAGAAUCCUAGUCUCCAGAGUUGUAGUCCAACACUUAAACCACUGCACUACACUGGCUCUUAAUCUCCACCUAGCAAUCCUUUUUGAAACAGUUUCUCCAUCCAUUCCUCUUGACUUCUGCUUUGGGAUUAAAAUUAGCAUUCUGCUCAGCAUGUGAGUAAAGAAGGUGAUGAAUGAAUCAGUGAAAUAAUAGGGCAGUAGAAACAGAGGCUGCAUCUUUUCCAGCUCCCGUUGCUUCAACUCUUCAGUUGGGACCCAUAGAAUUCAUUCUUCCUUUCCCAAAAAAAUCUGCUGAGGUGGCCGCUAUUACUUUGACUGUGCCUUGUGAAUGAAAAAAAAAACUCCUUGUAAUUGCAUAAAGAGAAAUGUGUGCUGAAAUCUCGGCAGGUUGAGGGAGGUGGUGAAGUGUCAGGCAUUAAAUUUCCUCUGGUGGGUUAUUUUAUUUUGCUUAAUUGUUGGUGAAAUUUUUGCAAAUUGGCAAUUAUAAUCUUGGGCUGAUUGCUUACCCAGGUAAUUUACAGAUUUUCUCAUUUGGCAGGGAUGCUUCAUAACGCUUCCCAUAAAAUAUGGUUUCAUCAUCCUGCAACAGAGUUCCCUUCUUCUUUAUAGGUUAUUGCCUCUGCCUGCGGGGAGCUUGGAUGCUAAUUCCAUAGUGCUGCCUUCUUAAGAAAAUUGAAUUGAGUGCCUCUUUACCCCCGUGGAUCUGAAUGACAUGUUUGCCCCAGUUUCCAAUGAAUGUAGGGACUUUCUUUGAUAGCCUCUUCCAUAACCAAAAUGGGAAUGGCUAAGAACAGAUUUUCUAUCCAUCUUUGCAAUCACCUCUGAGAUCUAAAGCAAGACUGAAUACUUUCUGUAUACUGCGGCACAUUUUUUUUUAUACAACAGCCCAAGUAGACGAAAUGAAUAUGGCUGGGUAGCAUUUCAUACCCACAAGCAUGUCGCAUGUUUUAUCAAGGCCUGUGCACCAGGUGCCUUUUGCAACUUCAUCAGGUUCAAGGUGGAAGUAUCAGAAUGUCAAGCCAUACCUUUUGAGUUGGAAUACCUGAUAAUGGACUGGAUAGUCCAUGCAGUCUCUUCCAACACUAUGACUCUAUGUUUAUAUAAUACAUCUCCUCCUUUUCCACCCUGACAUGUCCCAAAGUCCUAAUGAAGAGGUGCUCCUAGUGGUCCCACAUGGCUUGGAGAUCUGCU